rnacentral:rRNA from 1 species
GAUGAACGCUGGCGGCGUGCCUAAUACAUGCAAGUCGAGCGAACGGACGAGAAGCUUGCUUCUCUGAUGUUAGCGGCGGACGGGUGAGUAACACGUGGAUAACCUACCUAUAAGACUGGGAUAACUUCGGGAAACCGGAGCUAAUACCGGAUAAUAUUUUGAACCGCAUGGUUCAAAAGUAAAAGACGGUCUUGCUGUCACUUAUAGAUGGAUCCGCGCUGCAUUAGCUAGUUGGUAAGGUAACGGCUUACCAAGGCAACGAUGCAUAGCCGACCUGAGAGGGUGAGCGCCCACACGGGAACGGAGCCAGGGCCCAACCUCCUCGGGGAGGCACAAGAGGGAAUUCUUCGGAAAUGGGGGAAGGCCGGACGGGGCACCGCGGGGGGAGGAAUAAAGUUCUUGGAAGCUAAAAACUUUUUUAUUGGGAAAAAAAAUGUGGGAAAUAAACGGUCCACAUUUGGAGGUUACCUAACCAGAACCCCCGGGAUAACAACGUC